rnacentral:misc_RNA from 1 species
UCUCCGUAGGUGAACCUGCGGAGGGAUCAUUACAGAGUUCUCGCCCUCGCGGGUAGAUCUCCCACCCACUGUUAUCGUUACUGUGUUGCUUUGGCGGGCCGCCGGGCCCCGCUCGGCCGCCGGCUCCGGCUGGCGCGCGCCCGCCAGAGGCCCAGCAAACUCUGAAUGUUAGUGUCGUCUGAGUACUAUAUAAUAGUUAAAACUUUUAACAACGGAUCUCUUGGUUCUG